rnacentral:rRNA from 1 species
GACGAACGCUGGCGGCGUGCCUAAUACAUGCAAGUAGAACGCUGAAGGAGGAGCUUGCUUCUCUGGAUGAGUUGCGAACGGGUGAGUAACGCGUAGGUAACCUGCCUGGUAGCGGGGGAUAACUAUUGGAAACGAUAGCUAAUACCGCAUAAUAGUAGAUGUUGCAUGACAUUUGCUUAAAAGGUGCAAUUGCAUCACUACCAGAUGGACCUGCGUUGUAUUAGCUAGUUGGUGGGGUAACGGCUCACCAAGGCGACGAUACAUAGCCGACCUGAGAGGGUGAUCGGCCACACUGGGACUGAGACACGGCCCAGACUCCUACGGGAGGCAGCAGUAGGGAAUCUUCGGCAAUGGACGGAAGUCUGACCGAGCAACGCCGCGUGAGUGAAGAAGGUUUUCGGAUCGUAAAGAUCUGUUGUAAGAGAAGAACGAGUGUGAGAGUGGAAAGUUCACACUGUGACGGUAUCUUACCAGAAAGGGACGGCUAACUACGUG